rnacentral:lncRNA from 10 species
CUGACCGGAAGUGUGGCUGUGGGUGGUUUACCGCCAGACUGUGAUGGUGGCGGGGCACGGCUGCGUGACUGUUGUGAGAGUUUCAGCCUGGAGAGGACCACCCUGCUGGAAGGGUGUCCUGGGAAUGAAGUCCACGUAGGUGAGAACACACACCAGGGAUAUGUAGCUGGAUGGACUCAGCAGCCCUUGGGGAAUAAAGCCAGCUCAACUCAGCUGUACUUCUCACCACGUGGCAAAGGAUGGACCAAAGGCUGGGAGCAACUGGGAGUGUCUGGGACUGUGCCCCAAGGAAGCCACACAAACUGUGUAGCCAGACAGUCUGUCUGGGAGGAGAAGGAAGGAAUUUAUCUACCAGCUCCCAUCUCUCAUGGACCAAAUUCUUCCCCACUGUACAUAACUCCAUAUCACUUUCAGAUUGCAUAAGGGUGAGAGCUGAAUGUAGGCUCCAACAGGAAGACGGCAUUGAAGCCUGGUUGCUUGUUACUACUCAGAAUGCCAUCUACAAAAGGAAAUUAUGUAAAAAGCAAUAAAGAACCCCUUUUGUUCUUGCAGGAGUCAGUGUUUCAUAACUCUUUCUGUGAUAUCGUCUGUAUAAGUUGAACCUCUAAAGAACCUUAUCUAAGUUGCCACGACCUUACUCAUUACCCUCAAGAAAGAUGAACAAUUUAAAGGGGGAAAAAAGGAAGUGAAAAAAAUGGCGGAUACGAGGCAGAACUAACCUGCAGCUUCCACUCGAAGGGACAGAGCAGAGUGUGGAGACCCACAACUGGAACUUUUUCUCCAAGAACUACCACAGGAACAUACCAAGAAAGCCAAGAGAAUCCACAGAACCUUUGGAGGAAGUGGUUUGUCACUGCAGGCUCUGUGGGACAGCUGAGGAACUGCCAGCGUCCUCUUUCCUGUGUUGGUCACAUCCUCAAAUGCCUUUGGGGCUGGAUGAACAGUCGGCUUGUGGGUUUUCAUGGUGAUUUCAACUAAUAUGUGGAAGGGAAGGAGGGGAAGAGGAAAGACUCGGUGAUGGCUACAGCAGGCAAACCAUAUGCCACCGCAUGGGCCUGAGGACAAUCUCGGACGUCUUGCAAACAAUCACCCACACAAGUGUCCUGAUGAGUGGCGACCUUCUCAGCGAGGACUGACAACCACACGGGUUCCUACUUCAUGACCAGACCAGGGUCACCAUGGAGACAUUUCUCAUUGGAUCAGCUUAUUAUGCCAUAGGAAACAUCUGAUUGAAAUGGAACUCACUGACCUAAAGCUCCUAAAAAAAAAUUUUCUAGGUCAGUGACAGACAAGUUGGCUGCUUCAAAAAAGGUCCUGAAAACUCAAGACAAUGGAACAAUGCCAAGCAGUAAGAUAUGGAUACAAUGAGUAAAAUCUAAAGAUUGGUUCCUUUAAGACAAAGGGAUCAACAUGUAAUAACUUGGAAAUAUAUAGCAAAGAGAGAGCCAAAGACGUCUUCUAGCCCUGCACUUUGCCUCCUACUAGAACCAGUGGGAAGAUGCUCCAGGAAGUUAGCAGAGUCAGUUACAGUUAACUGCAGCUCAGUGUAAGGAAGAAACUCAACAGUGGAGUCAUUUUGAGAGGGAAUAGGUUAUUCUGAAAAGUAGGGAGUUUCCCUUCCCUAUGGGAGUUGAAUCCAAGGUUGGAUCUUUUUUUUUUUUUUUUUUUUUUGAGAUGUGGUUUUCCUAUGUUGCCCAGGCUGGAGUGUACUGGCUAUUCACAGGCAUAAUCACAGCAUAGCACACCCUUGAACUCCUGGGCUCAAGGAUCCUCCCACCUCAGCAUCCUGAGUAGGUGGGACUACAGGUACACGCCACUGCACCUGGCCUGGAUGAUCAUUAUUAAUGAAUGUUUUGUAGAAGGGAUAUAAACAUGAGAUUGGUAGAUGAUCUGAAUGACUUUUAUGUUUGAGAGUAUUUUAUUCCAUACUCACUGUAGCCUUAUGUUCCCAAUUUUAAAUACAUAUAUAUAUACACACAUAUAUAUACACACACAGUUAUAUAUGCUAAUAUGUUACUUAUGACUAAAUAGUAUUUAUUUUUUAUGUUUCUCUAAUAUCAUUUAUAUUAAGAAAUUAAUUAAUCAAAAAAUCAAUCUUUUGUCAGACCAAAAGCUUGAAAACAAAAUAUGGCCUGUAUAACUAUAUUUCAUGGAAAAAAUAAUAAUCCAAACCAUUUCUCAGUGGCGUUUGUUCCUGGUUCCUUUUCCAGUACAUUCAUUCACUCAUGAAAAAUCAUUUUUGGGCUCAAAUGGUAGAGAAAACAAAGCCAAAAUUCUGAGCAGCAGUCCCAACCCUAGGAAGCUGUGUGGUUAUAUUAUCUAACAUCUAAAGGGCUAUUUAACCAUUCUAGGACUUGGUUUUGUCAUUUGUAAAAGGAGUGAAAUAACAGAAGCUGCCUUACAGGAUCGUUGUAAAGAUUAAUGUGUGAAUAUACGUGAGCCACUUAGAACAAUGGCUGGUACAUAGUAAGUACUAUUUGAGUGAUAGCUUUCAUUAUCAUCAUCAUUCAACAACAAUAUUGUUAUUCCAGGCUUGGGGAGCAUAAACACGAAUAGGACAGGACCUCUUUUUCUCUAAAGAUGCAUAGUCCGGCUAGAGAAAGCAUGUAGGUAAACAGUGCAGGAAGGGGAGAGAAUCACUGUAAUGGGGAAAUGUGCUAGCAACUCCAAAUGGGAGAUUGCAGAGAAGGCUGUCAGAGAAAUAGGCUGUUGAGCUGGGUUUUGAUGACUGACAAGGCAUUUUCCAGGUAGAGGAGGGAAAAGUGAUCUGGGCUGAAGGAUGUCACUUUGUGUUUAGCAAUCCUGAGGUUGCCUUAAAUCAGCCUCAAUCACUUCUGUUGAGUAGAAGCCUAUGCUUUCUGUCCUGCCCUGGUUCUUGGCUGCAGGUCACAAAACAUUUCAGUCCAUUCAAGAAUCCUUGAGAGCUCUCCUGGGGACCUCCUGGGCAAUGCAGAGGUCAGACAGCAGAGCCACAUUCUCAGGGAGAGUGGCACAGUCAAGGGAGAAGACAGGUGAAGAGAAUGUUUUCCUGUGAAGGUGGUGAGCUGAUUGCCUUAGAGAGCGUGAGCUCCUGCCUUAGAGAGCAGGUGAACUCUCUCCAAGAAAGCAAAUGGAAACAAGCAAGCAAAACACGUUUCUUUCUCUUGUGUCUACACCCCCAGCCCCCACCACCCAUGAGUAAAGUGUCUUAUCUAGGUCUUACAAUCAGCCUUCCUAUCCAAUAUUCAGAUUUAUCUGAACAUGAGACCCAACGGUAACUCUUGUCCCCCACGGCUCACGUGAUGUAAAGGCUUACCUGGAGGAUCUCGCCUAUUCAUAGCAUCUUUGUCUCCAUGUCCUUAUCAUCAUGUCCUCUUUCGGGAAGCAAAAGAAAAGACCUUUUGCUCAUUUCACUUACUUGAGGAGACUGUUUCAAAUUGCUAUUUCUAUAUGGCAAAUUUUACCUCCACCCUGACUUAACUAGGUGAGGGUAGAAAAUGAGACCUGUGGAACAGAGGAAAAGCGAAUGCAAGGGGAUGAGCGGCAGCAGCAAGAACAUCCUGGACCAUUGGGGUGAGAUCAAUGAAACCCACACUGGAGCCCAGGCCCUGAUGUCCCCUGAGCUCCUCCUCCACAGCCUGUCAACUCCUGUGUCUCUGCAGUCCUAAAUAAACAAGAAGCAGCAGGAGUUGAUUUGGGUUUAGUCAUGGAUGGCUCCCUACUCUCUCUUCGUAUUGAAGCUCAUUUUAUCCAAGAUGUUAUACAGAUGAGGGACUUACUGCUAACCUUGUUCUCAGGGAAGCUCCAAACUAAAGAAUCAAAAAAUAUGAUAAACUUGGGCCAAAAAUCCCAUCCACAGUUAUGGGAAUACCAUGACUGGGCAUAUGAGACACCUGAUUUUCAGCCUAAGGAAGCACCAUCGGCGAGACAUACAGUAUCACAAUCUGGCUAUAUUUUAUGCUCCCUUUCCAUCAGUCUGGGAUAAAUUGUGUGUGUCAAGUUCGGCAAGCAUGGGUGAGCUAAAUGGAGCUGUUAGCUGUCUUUUCAACAUAUUUAUCUGUUUCAUUGCCUACUCUAGGAUGUCUUUGUGAUCAUUAUAUAGGGAUCACAGAUAAUAGACUAUUUGAAAUCUUACUUCAAUUAAAACUUAAUCCUCAGAUGUCAAUAACAGUGUUUUAUACAUAAGGUUACAAUAAAAACAAUGUCUUUUGUGCAUAUCAUUAAAACAACAACAGAAAAUCAAGAAUAAGAAAUGGCCUGAACAUUUUCUAAAACAAGAUGCUCUACUAUGUCGUGUACCUUGUCACUGUGAUAAAAUUAUGGUUAUUUCAAUAUCUAUGCAACUUGACAAAGUCACACAGGAUUUAUAAGAAAAAAAAUC